rfam:Salmo salar isolate Sally breed double haploid chromosome ssa16, whole genome shotgun sequence.
AAUGCACCAAUUUGUAUUUCGCUCUGGAUAAGAGCGUCUGCUAAAUGACUUAAA